GAGAGUUUGAUUCUGGCUCAGGACGAACGCUGGCGGCGUGCCUAAUACAUGCAAGUCGAACGAGAGCGACCGGUGCUUGCACUGAUCAAUCUAGUGGCGAACGGGUGAGUAACACGUGGGUAACCUGCCCAUCAGAGGGGGAUAACAUUCGGAAACGGAUGCUAAAACCGCAUAGGUUCUUUAGUCGCAUGACUGAAGAAGGAAAAGAGGCUUCGGCUUCUGCUGAUGGAUGGACCCGCGGUGCAUUAGCUAGUUGGUGAGGUAACGGCUCACCAAGGCGAUGAUGCAUAGCCGACCUGAGAGGGUGAUCGGCCACAUUGGGACUGAGACACGGCCCAAACUCCUACGGGAGGCAGCAGUAGGGAAUCUUCCGCAAUGGACGCAAGUCUGACGGAGCAACGCCGCGUGAGUGAAGAAGGAUUUCGGUUCGUAAAACUCUGUUGUUAGAGAAGAACAGCGCAUAGAGUAACUGUUAUGCGUGUGACGGUAUCUAACCAGAAAGCCACGGCUAAAUACGUGCCAGCAGCCCGCGGUAAUACCGUAUGUCACAAGCGUUAUCCGGAUUUAUUGGGCGUAAAGCGCGUCUAGGUGGUUAUGUAACGUCUGAUGUGAAAAUGCAGGGNCUCAACUCUGUAUUGCGUUGGAAACUGCAUGACUAGAGUACUGGAGAGGUAAGCGGAACUACAAGUGUCAGAGGUGAAAUUCGUAGAUAUUUGUAGGAAUGCCGAUGGGGAAAGCCCAGCUUACUGGACAGAUACUGACGCUAAAGCGCGAAAGCGUGGGUAGCAAACAGGAUUAGAUACCCUGGGUAGUCCACCCCGUAAACGAUGAUUACUAGGUGUUGGGGGUCGNACCUCAGCGCCCAAGCUAACGCGAUAAGUAANACCGCCUGGGGAGUACGUACGCAAGUAUGAAACUCAAAGGAAUUGACCGGGGACCCGCACAANGCGGUGGAGCAUGUGGUUUAAUUCGACGCAACGCGAGGAACCUUACCAGCGUUUGACAUCUUAGGAAUGAGACAGAGAUGUUUCAGUGUCACUUCGGUGAAACGCUAAAGACCAGGUGGUGCAUGGCUGGUCGUCAGCUCGUGUCGUGAGAUGUUGGGUUAAGUCCCGCAACGAGCGCAACCCCUUUCGUAUGUUACCAUCAUUAAGUUGGGGACUCAUGCGAUACUGCCUACGAUGAGUAGGAGGAAGGUGGGGAUGACGUCAAGUCAUCAUGCCCCUUAUACGCUGGGCUACACACGUGCUACAAUGGGUAGUACAGAGAGUCGCAAAGCCGUGAGGUGGAGCUAAUCUCAGAAAACUAUUCUUAGUUCGGAUUGUACUCUGCAACUCGAGUACAUGAAGUUGGAAUCGCUAGUAAUCGCGAAUCAGCAAUGUCGCGGUGAAUACGUUCUCGGGUCUUGUACACACCGCCCGUCACACCACGAGAGUUGGUUGCACCUGAAGUAGCAGGCCUAACCGUAAGGAGGGAUGCUCCGAGGGUGUGAUUAGCGAUUGGGGUGAAGUCGUAACAAGGUAUCCGUACGGGAACGUGCGGCUGGAUCACCUCCUUC
rnacentral:rRNA from 1 species